CUUAGAGAUGGUAUGUAAAGAUUUAGAUGAAGAGAUGAUAUUCUUGUGAAUCUUUUCUAUUACCCUUAUCUUGUUCAAGAGACUUGAUAGGUCAUAUUGUGAUAAAACACUUCAUGACCAAUGCUUGGAUCUACCCAAGAAAAGAAUAUCUUUUAUUUAAUUCAAAAGCAUCAUCAUCUUGUUUGUGAGGCUUGAUAGCUUAUAGUUG
rnacentral:lncRNA from 1 species